rnacentral:lncRNA from 1 species
GCACAGUGAUAUCAAGUUCAAAUUUAACUGUGCUUCAAAUUCAGCAACUGAAAUCUCUCUUAGCAGGUCAAGGUCAACAUAGCUGACAUAAACCUGAUAUGUGGAUCAGAGAUGGUUUUCGUGGAGGACAUGGGCAUAUUCAAGACUCUUUUAAGAGAACAGUUCUCCUUUAUGUCCCAGUCAAGAGAAAGAGGAACCAAGCCCUGUGUGAAAAACUUGACUCAGAACAGAACAACUUUCACAGAGCUAUG